CAAGCGGUCGGAGUUCCCUAUAUGGGAAUGACGGCGUGCCUUUUGCAUAAUGAACCUACGAGUUACUCCUCACUGGCAAGGUUAAGUGAUUAAGUCACGCAGCCGAAGCGAAAGCAAGUCUGAAUAGGGCGAUCAGUCAGUGGGGGUAGACGCGAAACCUUGUGAUCUACCCAUGGCCAGGUUGAAGGAUCGGUAACACGAUCUGGAGGACCGAACUGGUAAACGUUGAAAAGUUUUCGGAUGAGCUGUGGGUAGGGGUGAAAGGCUAAUCAAACUGGGAAAUAGCUCGUACUCUGCGAAAUGUUUUUAGGAACAGCCUCGAGGUUGAGUAUCAUAGAGGUAGAGCUACCGAUUGGGCUAGGGGGCUUCACCGCCUACCAAACCCUGACGAACUCCGAAUGCUAUGAUAUGUACUCGGGAGUGAGCCUGCGGGUGCUAAGGUCCGUGGGCGAGAGGGAAAGAACCCAGACCAUUUGCUAAGAGCCCCAAAAUCUGAGUUAAGUUGUUAAAACGUGGUCCGACUGCUGUGACAGCCAGGAUGUUUGCUUGGAAGCAGCCAUUCAUUUAAAGAGUGCGUAACAGCUCACUGGUCGAGCGGUUGGGCGUGGAUAAUAACCGGGCAUAAAACUCAGUGCCGAAGCAAUGGACUCGAAAGAGUGGUAGCAGAGCAUUCUAACAGCAGUGAAGGUGAAGCGCGAGCUUUGCUGGAGCGGUUAGAAAAGCAAAUGUAGGUAUAAGUAACGAUAAGGCUGGUGAGAGACCAGCCCGCCGAUAGUCUAAGGUUUCCUGAUCAACGUUAAUCGGAUCAGGGUUAGUCGGGUCCUAAGUCGAAGCCGAAGGGCGUAGACGAUGGCCAAUUGGUUAAUAUUCCAAUACUAGUAUACAGUGCUAUGGGGUGACCCAGUAGUGAAAGAUCCGCGUACUGACGGAAGUACGUUAAAGACCGUAGAUAUAGGUUGCGUAGGUAAAUCCGCGCGAUUUGUCGAAAGUCGAUAGUACACUGAGUCUUCGGACAAGGUGAUAGUGAUCCUAAUCAGACUGGCAAGAAAAACCUCUAUGCUUCAGCUGUAUACUACCCGUACCGUAAGCCGACACAGGUAGACAAGUAGAGUAUACUAAGGCGCUAGGGUGAGCCGUGGCUAAGGAACUAGGCAAAUUAACCCCGUAACUUCGGGAAAAGGGGUGCCCCCUUCGGGGGGCCGCAGAGAAAUGGGAGCGGCGACUGUUUAUCAAAAACUCAUGGCUUUGCAAAAUCGAAAGAUGAAGUAUAAGGCCUGACACCUGCCCGGUGCUGGAAGGUUAAGAGGAGAGGUUAAUCGCAAGAUGAAGCUUUGAAUCGAAGCCCCAGUAAACGGCGGCCGUAACAAUAACGGUCCUAAGGUAGCGAAAUUCCUUGUCGGGUAAGUUCCGACCUGCACGAAUGGUGUAACGAUCGCUCCACUGUCUCAGCCACGAGCCCUGUGAAAUUGGAGUAACGGUGAAGAUACCGUUUACCCGCAACGGGACGGAAAGACCCCGUGCACCUUUACUAUAGCUUUACAUUGAACUUGGGUAAAUAAUGUGUAGAUAGCUGGGAGACUUUGAAGUGGUGUCU
rnacentral:rRNA from 1 species